GAUUUAGAACAACACAGCAAAAUGCGGAACAACAUUACACGUGCAAUGAAAGCAAGGACAUUUACUCAGCUGAGGCUGGCAAAGAAAGUAGGAACAAAAUGUGCUUUCAGUUGGUGUCUGUGAAACAGGAAAUAAAGCUUACGAGUGAUCGUAACAGGGUCAGUACUGGCGCUGUGGGCAAUGUUGAGAGGGUCAGGUUUUGAGGCUCAUUAAGUGGGAUAGCUCUCUCCCACACCACGUUAUUUGUCAGGCGUUUUUGCAAAACAUGCCAAGUACAGCCAAAGGAGAAAGUGUGGAUUGAAAGAAAAAGCCCCACAAUGUGACAGACACUGACUAAUCGACACUAACCACACAGAGGAAGCUGAAUGGGUUUUUCAUACCAAGGAAAAGACUUCGAAUUUGGAAAGAGAUAACAAGAGAAUCUACAGCAAAACAACCAUAAGAGAAAGCACUCGGAAUCACAGCAGAAAAAAUGAAUUAACCAAAAAGUUAUUAAUUAAUGAACGAAAGGCUCAUUGUUUUUUUCCUUUUUGCUUCUUUUUAUUGGUCCAGUCUGAUGUCAAUACAAUCAAAUCCAUUUAUAUGCAACCCCUUAAAGGGACAUUUAUACCAGUCCCAGUUUGUUGCUCACUAAGUCAGCAAUGAUGCAGCCAUUCCAGACUUCAUGUAUAUU